rnacentral:rRNA from 1 species
CUCUAUAGCCAAGCCACACUGAACAUACCUGAUCUCAUCUAUUCUUGGAAAUAAGCAGGAUUGGGCCUUGUUAGUAUUUGGAAUGGAAACCACUUGGGAAUGCCAGCUGUUAUGGGUA